UACGUAGGGGGCAAGCGUUGUCCGGAAUCAUUGGGCGUAAAGCGCGUGUAGGCGGUCCGGUAAGUCCGCUGUGAAAGUCGGGGGCUCAACCCUCGGAUGCCGGUGGAUACUGUCGGGCUUGAGUACGGAAGAGGCGAGCGGAAUUCCUGGUGUAGCGGUGAAAUGCGCAGAUAUCAGGAGGAACACCAAUUGCGAAGGCAGCUCGCUGGGACGUUACUGACGCUGAGACGCGAAAGCGUGGGGAGCAAACAGG
rnacentral:rRNA from 1 species